CAAAGUUUGCUUCUUGAUUUGACCUGGAGCAUUGCUUGAUUGGCCUGGAGCAUUGCUUGAUGGGCCUGGAGCCCCUCGCGCAACUGCAGAGUCCAUCCAUGUGAAACGGAGCAGAGGGGGAAGCCGCCAGGUUCAUAGCUAGUAACGGCUGAUGGCUACAAAUAUAAAACGUCAGUUAUAGGCAUUGAUAAUCAAGAAUUAAGCUCUAUGUAUCGCAAACUUGGGGGAAAACGGUCUCAUUCCGGCAUUAACUGGAAUUAAGCACCUGGCUUUACGAUAAUAACCAAAGGCGCGACGCCUCAAGAUGUGGGCUUAUGACGUACGCAGGUAAAAAAAAGGUCUUGAUAUUUAUAUAUGUCAUGUGUACAUCGGGAAAGAUUUGAGGAACAUGACGUCGGCUCACCCUGCGCGGCCGCGACGAGCAGCAAAAGCGUCGGAAGCGCCUUCUGCCACAUGACAACACUUGCUGGAGAAGCCUGUCCCUGUAUUCCUCCUCGUAAUAGCUUCAGACCAGAUUAAGUGUCACAGGUAGAGGUUGGCUCCUCCCGCAACCUCGCUAAAGACUAUGACAAGCCAUGGCCACGCGCUGGAAGUUCAGCAGAUGUAUGCAGCUUGUGCACGUACUUAGAUAAGAUUAAUUUAGUUAUAGUAGCUCAUUGAUGCAUCGUUGCUUAUAAAUAGUACCGCCAGGUGCUCCGGCAAACGAAUGGUACGACGGGCUCGACAGGGUGCCAAUGUCU
rnacentral:lncRNA from 1 species